CUAUACCAUCAUACCUUGCGCAUGAUUGAUCUUUGAAACUAAGGAGGGUUGGGCCUGGUAAGUACUUGGAUGGGAGACCACCCAUGAAUUCUUAGUGGUAUAGA
rnacentral:rRNA from 1 species